rnacentral:rRNA from 1 species
AGUGAACGCUGGCGGUAGGCCUAACACAUGCAAGUCGAACGGCAGCACAGUUAGAGCUUGCUCUUACGGGUGGCGAGUGUCGGUCGGGCGAGGAUUACAUCGGUCUCUACUUUUUCGUGGUGGAUAACGUAUGGAAACUUACGCUAAUACCGCAUACGACCUACGGGUGCAAGCAGGGGAUCUUCCGUCCUUGCGCGAUCUAAUGCGCCGAUGUCGGCUUAGCUAGUUGGAGGGGUAAAGGCCCACCAAGGCGACGAUACGUAGCUGUUCUGAGAGGAUGAUAGGCCAAACUGGAACUGGAACAGGGUCAAGACUCCUACGGGAGGCAGCAGUGGGGAAUAUUGGACAAUGGGCGAAAGCCUGAUCAAGCAAGACCGCGUAGGUGAAGAAGGCCUUGGGGUUGUAAAGCCCUUUUGUUGGGAAAGAAAAGCAGCAGGUUAAUACCCCGCUGUGGUGACGGUACCCUAAGAAUAAGCACCGGCUAACUUCGUG